GCCCUCGUAGUCUAGCUUGGAUAGGACACAGGGUUGCGGUCCCUGUAACCCGGGUUCAAAUCCCGGCGAGGGCA
rnacentral:tRNA from 1 species